CAAGGAAGAAUCCUCCUCAAGAAGCUUUAGAGAGAGGAUGACCCCACUGCCACCUUGAUCUCCAGUUUUGGAGACUCCAGCACCUCCCAGAAUGUCUUGAGGAAUGGCACUUCACCGGGGCCCUUGGAUGACGUGCCACAUGUAUUCAACAGUAAACAUCUUCCUGUAAUCCUUGCUUC
rnacentral:lncRNA from 1 species